CUUGGUCAUUAAGUCCAAAAGUUGUUAAAUGAGGAAUAUCUGUACUGUAUCAUAAUCCAGUGCAAAGGGACUAUGUCAAGUGAGGAGUAUGUAAAGAAUUUAGAGACUUUCUGCCUAAAGAAAACUGGGAGAGACCCAACUCUGUAGGUUUGAAGAACUAUCAUGCGCAAUAGACCAAUUUAGAAUUUCUUCAUUUAAUUCAUAUUUUUUGAGUGCCUGCUGUAUCUCCACAUAUCUUUCUAGGCAUUUGAAAAAAUAGUUGUGGACAAGAUGAAUGAGGCCCUCGGUCCCAUGGAUGAGGAUGGUUAUGAUACAAUAUACAAAAUCAAAAUAACUUCAGACAGAAACAAGACAAGACAAUAGGGAAUUCUGUGGGGUGGGGUUGGGAGGCUGAAGCUUCUUCUGACUGGGUAGUCAGAAAUGCUCUCCCUGAGGACCUCAUGUUUGGGUUAAGUUCUGAAUGUCAAAAAUGCUACAAGCUGAGGACUGCCAGAGAAGAUGAACCUCAGCUUGAAAGCUGACACAGACCCAAAGGCAUUAACAAGUAGAGGUUAUUGGUCAAUCGCAUUCUUUGAGGCUCAGUUGCUAAGUCCUUUCUUGGAGAGAGAUGUGAGUGAGAGAUGUGAGUGUUGUACGUGUUGGCCAGAAAUUUUCUAUCAGUGAUUAUUCUAAGCACAGGUUGGUUGACCACUGGCUAUGAAUCUUGAGCAGAGGAUCCCUGCAUUGGAUGGGAUUUGAGGCCAGAUGAGCCCAGUGCCCCUCUCAGCUCCUGGGUCCUGUGAUUGCUCUUCGGCCUGAUUUGAUUCUAUGAGCCAGGUACUGUAUUUUGAAGUCGGCCUGCCUUGCUCAAACAGCUGCUUCCCUUCUGCCAUUGGCCAUCUGCCCUGCAGGGUACUGGAGGUAGGCCCAAAAUGCUUCUGCAGAGUAUAUGGCUCUCCCUUCUGCUGCCCACAACAUUUUAGAUCCCAAAUGCUAAAGAAAAUGGUUAUGGUAUAUAUGGGGAAGUGGAUCAAAAAGUUGAACAGAAAUAAAAAGGAAGGAAAUUGAAAAUGUUCCAAGCUAAGACUAUACAAACCAAAUCCUUGUCUGAAGUGCCCUUUUCUUGAAAUAUGGAAAAGCAAAACCACAGUACUCCCUACUGAUCUGUGCAGAUUCCACACCUGGAAGGGUCUGAUAUCUUAUUUUCUUCCCCACCAUGGGUAUGCUGGAUUUUCAUCUGCAGAUACAAAAUCAUUCCCCUCAAUUCCAGUGCUUCUUAGAGGGAAAAUGGAAAACUUCCAGGCUUCCUAAAGAAAGAAUGGCUCAAUGUUCUGUUCCACUAUGUUUAUUCUUCCUUUUUAUUUAACCUGCUUCAGGCUAACAGCCUGUUGUGGUGGCUUUUUCUUGUAGCUUGGCAGCUCUCUCUGGCUUACAAAUGCCCUAAAAUAAAUAAGUAAAAUCUCAGCAGGACUUCUAAGGACAGUAUUAAACUUUACCUCCCUUCGGAGACCUCCUUUGAAUGUUCAUUUGUUUUAUAGUAUUUUCAGGCUGUAUAGAUCCUAUUUACUUUUGCCUAGCCCAAGAACAGUAGCAUUUUAGAAAAUAUUCAUGGUGGUAUUUUAAUAUAAUGAGCUAUGCAUACUGAUUUUAAUUCCAAAAACUCGCAAAUUUAAAGAGAUGCCUUGAAUCCAAGCCCUUAGGAUUCUUGCCAGCCUUCUGGUUUUCCUGUCUGCUCUGUUGUUUCACAGUGGGACGACCAAGCCAGAACUUACUGGGUUAAUGAAUGGAAAAUCAAGUCUUAGUGAAUGACCCCUUCGUUAGGACCAGAGGAAUGGGGUCAGAUUGAGUUUAAAUAAGAAAGGGCCUGGGCAUGGUGGCACAUACCUGUAAUCCCAGAUCUUUGGGAAGCUAAGGCAGGAAGACUGCAAAUCCAAGUCUACCUGGGCCACUUUGCAAGACCGUGUCUCAAAUAAAAAUAAAAAGGGCUGGGGAUGUAGCUCAGUUUGUUUAAUGGUUUGUUUAAUGCCCAACACUGAAAACAAACAAAAAACACCUGCAAAGACUGCCCCAGGUGAUUAAUACAAAAUUAGAUAAAUCCCCCCAAAAUACUAAGGGUUAAUACUGCAAGUUCAGGAUGUUUCCAUUAGAGGCAGCUUUUGUCUCUGAAAACAGCCUGGAGCGCAUACAUGCAAAAGAGUAGUCUGUUUAAAAAAGAAAAUCAAAGAAAAGUGGACCAAGGGCACACCCUCCCUGAACCAUUAUGUAGGAAUAGAAAUGACAAGUAAACAAAAUUUUUUGAAAAACUUGAAAAGUGCUUUCAUUCCCUCCCAAGACUGCAGACUGGACUCCCGGACUUGACAACUGUUUGAGGACCGGAGAGCAAGGUCGCAGGUCUGCAGCCCUUCUCACGCCUGGAGACUGCUGAGUUAUUGAAGGUGAUAGUUGCAUCACCUUGGAGCAAGGAACAAAGACCUUCUUUUUGUUGUUGUUGGCCAGAAUUUGUCGUUACUCAUAAAUAGUUAGAGAACAGUCCCAGAGUGGCUGGUGGAACGGUAGGAGAAUUUCUGAGAAUCAGCCUUUGGUGAGAGGCAUGUGGCUGGAAACCUGCACUGCAAACUUUUACCUAGCGAGUCAGCAUGUGACUUUCACCUGACUUCAUUCUCUGUCCCAAGGGUUCCAAGGCCAGAAACAAGGUCCUGGCUUUGGUUGCAGCCAUGUCCACUCUUCAGAGUAAACUGAGAACAAAUGCAAAGGCAGAUCGCCAAAGUACUGGGGACCAAACACAGAGCCUUGACCAUUCUAGGCAAGUGCUCUAUCACUGAGCCGUAUCCCUAGCCCUGAUAAGGAUUGUUUUUAAAUGAAUACAAAAGUAUAGGGCCAGGGAUUUAGCUCAGUGGUUCUGCUGUCUGCCUCGCAACCAGAAGGACCCGAGUUCGAUCCCCGGUACUAUAAAAAAAAAAGUAUCUUCCCCGAAGAGCUUAAGACAUUAUACUACAGUGAUACAUGCACAGCAAUGUUUAGAGAAGUCCUAGAAGCAGCCUGUUUACCCAUCAACAGACAACUGGAUAAAGGAAAUGUAUCUAUGUAAUGGAAUACUACAUGGCUACAAAGAAUGACAAAUUUGAGACAUUUGUAGGAAAAUGGAUGCACCUGGAAAAUACAGUGUUGAGUGAAAUAAACCAGAUACACAAGCUUAAAUACCAAAUGGUAUCUCUCAUCUGAGCAAGGCAAAGUACAAACAAAAAGAGUAAUAAAGGAUGGAUAAAAGGAGACAAGGGGAUGGAUCUCUUGCAAAUGACAGACUAAGGGCAAGGGAUGAAGAGGAGGAAAAGGGGAAAUAAGCACAAUGAAGAUUUGCCAUAGGGCCAGGGAUUUAGCUCAGUGGUUCUGGCGCCUGCCUCGUAAGCACAAGGUCCCGAGUUCGAUCCCCGGUACAAAAAACAAACAAACAGAUUUGCUAUAAGCAGGAACCCAGUAACCUCAAUGGCUAAACAUUAUAUGUCAUAAACAUGAGCUAAGAUUAGUAAUAUCAGCCAGAAUAAAAACAGGGAAAGAGGAAUAUGGGAGGAGGGAUUUUUUUAAAAAAACAAGCUCUACUAUGUACAUGUACCCACUCCCGAAGAUGAUUGUAAAUUAUGUGUACUGCAAACAUGUACUAAUAAAAAUUUAAAAAUUAAAAAAUAAAUAAAAAGGGCAAAUGGGAAAAACAAGUAAAUAAUAGUCAUUUAAAAUUUAUUUUUUCAUUAACAUUAAUAAGCAGAUACAUGUAAUAUGUACAUUAAGGCUUUCACAGUAAAUCUACUUUUGUUUAUCUUUACUUUUCAGCCUUUGCAUUUGGUGCACCCUUCUCUCUUUCUUCCUUCUUUUUUUUUUUCUUCCUUUCUUUCUUGGUUUUUUGAGACAGGGUCUCCCUGUGUAGUUCAGGCUGGCCUUGAAUGCAGGGCAAUCCUCCUGCCUCAGCCUUCCAAGUGCUGGGAUUACCAGCAUAUGUCACCACAUCCAGUCUGUUCAUUUUCUUGAUUGAUGUAUUUUCACUUAGGCAACAACAUUAAAAUAAUUACUUAAUUACUGGAAACCAAGAUAAAGAUAAAGCUACUUUCUACCCCUGUCUACAUCCCCCAGCCCCUUUUCUUUUCAGCCAUUUUGGUGGCAUUCCCCAGGGUCAUUGUGCACCAGCAGAAAUAAAACUUCUCAAAAAAACAAAAACAAAAACAAAAACAAACUUCUUGACAGCUCGUCCUGUCUCCCCAGGAAGAAGCAGCUUUCCCAUUCCUGGCCUCCUCUCCAGCUGCUCCUCUCCUGUUUUCCCAGGGAAUGACCCACGGGGAAGAAAGCCCUUUCUCAUGGGAGCGGCUGAGCCCUUCUCUGGAAGGACCUCAGCUCUGACAAUGCUACGUUUGUAUUGUCAGCUACACUUCAGUCCUGUCGCCAUGGUAUUCCAGACAAGAUGUGUGAAGAAUUUGAACUUUUUUUAAAAAAAAAAAAAGAAAGAAAAAGAAAAAGAUGGGCCAGGGAUUUAGCUCAGUGGUUCUGCUGCUUGCCUUGAAAGCAUAAGGACCCAAGUUCGAUCCCUGGUACCAAAAAAAAAAAAAAAAAAAUUAAAAAAGAAAAAGAUUAUCUGCCAGGAGUCAGCUUCUCUUCAGCUAUUUGAAAUCCUUCCCACAAAAAUCUCAAUUCCAGCCUCAUUAUGCUACUACUAAUUAAUACUUAUUUUCCUGUCCCUGG
rnacentral:lncRNA from 1 species